UUGAAAAUCAUUAUCUUCAUUUUUCUUACACACGUAUGCAAGAAGCUGGAAACGGGUAGAAGAUUGGAAAAACCGAGAAAAAGAUAAAGAAAGGGCCGGGGGGGUGGGUGGGGAAAGAGAAGAAGAAGAGGAAGAAGGAAGAUGUAGUGUCUAUUCUUCAAGUAUAAGUUUUCAAUUUCUCCUUCUGCUCAAAAGGUAAGUGAAAGUAUUUUAAUUAAAUUUUUAGGGUUUGUGAACAAUUUGCUUGCAUUUGAAGUUUAGCAAGAAUUAGAGGUUAUUGUCAUAUAUUCGAGGUAUUAAACAUGAAUAUGUCAAAGAAAUUCAUAUUGAAAUAUGGGUGUUGAAGAAAAGUGAAACUUCGAAAAAGGGUUUAUGAAAAAGAUAGUCAUUCUUUGAUUUUCUUGAGAUUAUAUAAUGUCAAGCGUUUAAAUUAAGGAAUUGGGGUUGAUUUCUCCAUUUUUAAGUAAGUAUUAUAAGCAAUUUUUGGACAAAAUCCUACACAGGUGCUGAUUUUGUAAUUUUGCCCAGAAAAGUGUCAUUUUUGUCAAUUGUUUUGGUGAUAAUUUUCAGUGUACAGAAACUGGUUUUACAAUUCCAUAUUAUGGAAUUUUAGUGUUGCUUUUGUCUAGUCUUUGAUUUUCACAUUUUAAGGGUUUGAAUGAAGUUAUAUGACAAAUACUGAAGUUUAUGUAGUAGACUAAAUUAUGUGUCAGGGUUGUAUAAGGUAUUCAAUUUAAGCAAGUGCAAGUGAUUUAAUGGAUUUGAUAAUGAAUGAUGCUUAGUUGAUAAAUCAUUAGAAAGAAGAAAAUUUGGGAAAUUCAUUCAAGUAAUAAGAAAUGGAGAUUCAAGAGAAAAUUUAAAAGUUGAGUAAUUAAGUGGUGACUUUGCAUUAGUUUAAUUUUUAUAUUUUAAUUUGAGUUAUUAUACUGUUAUUUCAGGUAAUGACGUGGAAGUUUAGAGAUGCCCAUUAAUUUAGCCAGACUUUUAUCCAUGGAGCAGUAAGUGGAUACGGACUUUUUUUCAGAAAUUAAUAUUUAUUAAAUUUAUGUUAUAUGAAAAAAUUUAUUAUUUCAUACAAUUGAUUUGACAUCAUAAUUUUUAGAAUAAAGUUGAUUUAUAAACAGUCAUUUUUAAAAUUAAAUUUAGUUCAGUUAAAUCGUUUCAUUGGCAUACUAAUUUAGUAUUAAAUAUUUCAGUAUAGUUAAAGUUAUUUUUAAAAUCACCAGAAAGUACUCAAGUGAUUUGAUCCUAGUCUGUACUGGUGUGAAUGUGUUUCCACAAUGUAUGAUCAGUUAUGGUGAUUUCACCAGCUCUACACUAUUGCAAAUGUGUUUCCAUAGUGUAUGACAAGAAUUACAUAAUUUCAACUCUGCGCGCAUAUGACCAGAAUUUAAGAAUUACAGAAUUGAAUAACUUUCCCAUGUAUAUCGGUACUAACCGAUACAUGAGUAAGGUUAUUCCGAGUACCUUGUUGGUGUGAUUUUUCAAUAUUUCUACAGCUUAUCAAAUUUCAGAUUAUAAAAUUCAAUUUAUUAAGCUUUCAGCUUAUAGUAUUGAGCAGCAGCAAUAUUUCAUAGAUUUUCAUGGUAUUAUAUUAUUUAUAGUCAUUAUAUUUUACAAUUGCUUAUCUAGAAUUAAGAACAAAUGAUUUUAUGAUGCAAUCAUGUUUGGUUUUAAAAGUGUUACCAAAUUUCAGAAUUUCUAAAAGUUUUAGUAGUGCAAGAAUUUUCAGAAAAUAUGCAUAAAUGAGAAAAGUUUACUUAUUUGUAAAAUAUCCACACGCUGAAUUUUAAGCUCAUAUAUUUUUUUUCACCUUUUUCUUUAUCGAACAAAUAGCAGCCGAAUUGAGCAGCUUUGGAGCCUGUCGAACCACCGAUUUGAGCCACUCGUCAUAGGCUGUAUGACAUCCUUUAUCAGAUUAUACAUUAUGUGUUUUUUUGGGAUACAUGUAGUUUAAAUAAGAAAAGUUCAUUAUGGGCUCAUUAAAUAGAUGGUAUUUUUAGUAUAUUUAAGGAUUAUUGGUUAUAGAGCAAGUAAAUGUUGAUUUGCCAACAUUUGAUUUGAAUAGUUUAUAUUUUGAAGAACUGUCUUACCCUAUUCAUAUUAUAAAUAUUGGUUUGAGGAAAAUUGGUUAUUGUUCAGGUGAUUUUAGUUCAUAUUUCAGGGAAAAUUAUGUCAAAAUUUUGCUAAAAAUAUUUUUAAUCAAAUAAGUAAAGGUGCCUUAUUGGUGGGUCCGAGUUCAACUGGUAUCUACAAUC
rnacentral:lncRNA from 1 species